UGGAAGGGGCUCCCCCUGCCCCGCAGGUGCCGCCCCGAGGAGGUGGAGGAGGAGGAGCCGGGCACUGACUGGGGACCCAGGUGAGUCUAGCAAAUGACAAGGCCCAACGGUCAAAACCGCCUCAGUAAUGCGCUCGUCCAAAGCACGCACUUAACGCUCAAUCCUGGUGUCGCGUCCCGUUGCCAGGCAACGAAAGCAAGCGCUGCAAAGACGAAGGGGAGCGCCCAAGGAUGAGGAACGUUCCAAGACACUGAGUGAUUUGCUGAAAAUCACACAUCUAGGAUGCAAAGCCAGAAUGCGAGCAGUGACCACCACACUUGACAAAUCCGUUGUUGCACACAUUUGUACUCUUCAAUCAACAAAACCUGAUGCAAAAAACAGAAAAGGGGGAGAUGUACAUGCAUUUUCCCUCACUGCAAAAAAAACACAACUUGUUUAACUACAGGUGUGUUCCUGGUGGUCUUUGAAUGAAGACAUUGACAGAAAGUAACAUAGCAUGCUGGUUAAAGACUGUUUUUAUUCGAAUCCUGGCUUUGCCAAUCAACAGCUGCAUAAAUUAAACUCUCGACCUCAGCUCCCUUAUUUGUAAAACAAGAAUAACAAAAAGACAUUUUUAUAAGGUUGGGUUGAAGGUUAAAUGAAAUAACAGAAGAUUAUCUCUUCACUAAUUUUAGCUGUAGAAAACAGAAGCCAAUCGAAAGAGCUCCCAGUCCAAAGCUGGAACAACUUGAACAACAAAAUAAAUAAUGUAGCAUUGGAUUACAAACCAACCAUAAAACAAAUAUCCAUGAGUCUAUACUGAUGUCAAUAAAUGAAUAAAUGUGGGAAAAUAGACAAAUCUCCUUUCUCAUACAGAAGGAUUCCAAAUAAUUUGUGUAGAUAUUUCACUUUUAACUUGUUCUGUGGCUACGCAUUAAGUCAGGAUUUCCUUUCUUGCAUAAGGAGGACAAGG
rnacentral:lncRNA from 1 species